GACGAACGCUGGCGGCGUGCUUAACACAUGCAAGUCGAACGGAAAGGCCCUGCUUUUGUGGGGUGCUCGAGUGGCGAACGGGUGAGUAACACGUGAGUAACCUGCCCUUGACUUUGGGAUAACUUCAGGAAACUGGGGCUAAUACCGGAUAGGAGCUCCUGCUGCAUGGUGGGGGUUGGAAAGUUUCGGCGGUUGGGGAUGGACUCGCGGCUUAUCAGCUUGUUGGUGGGGUAGUGGCUUACCAAGGCUUUGACGGGUAGCCGGCCUGAGAGGGUGACCGGCCACAUUGGGCCUGGGAUACGGCCCAGACUCCUACGGGAGGCAGCGGUGGGGAAUAUUGCACAAUGGGCGGAAGCCUGAUGCAGCAACGCCGCGUGCGGGAUGACGGCCUUCGGGUUGUAAACCGCUUUCGCCUGUGACGAAGCGUGAGUGACGGUAAUGGGUAAAGAAGCUCCGGCUAACUACGUG
rnacentral:rRNA from 1 species